rnacentral:rRNA from 1 species
GACGAACGCUGGCGGCGUGCUUAACACAUGUAAGUCGAACGGAAAGGCCCUGCUUUUGUGGGGUGCUCGAGUGGCGAACGGGUGAGUAACACGUGAGUAACCUGCCCUUGACUUUGGGAUAACUUCAGGAAACUGGGGCUAAUACCGGAUAGGAGCUCCUGCUGCAUGGUGGGGGUUGGAAAGUUUCGGCGGUUGGGGAUGGACUCGCGGCUUAUCAGCUUGUUAGUGGGGUAGUGGCUUACCAAGGCUUUGACGGGUAGCCGGCCUGAGAGGGUGACCGGCCACAUUGGGACUGAGAUACGGCCCAGACUCCUACGGGAGGCAGCAGUGGGGAAUAUUGCACAAUGGGCGAAAGCCUGAUGCAGCAACGCCGCGUGCGGGAUGACGGCCUUCGGGUUGUAAACCGCUUUCGCCUGUGACGAAGCGUGAGUGACGGUAAUGGGUAAAGAAGCACCGGCUAACUACGU